UACGUAGGGGGCAAGCGUUGUCCGGAUUUAUUGGGCGUAAAGAGCGUGUAGGCGGCUUUGCAAGUCCGUUGUGAAAACUCGAGGCUCAACCUCGAGACGCCGGUGGAAACUGCAAAGCUAGAGUCCGGAAGAGGAGAGUGGAAUUCCUGGUGUAGCGGUGAAAUGCGCAGAUAUCAGGAAGAACACUCGUGGCGAAGGCGGCUCUCUGGGACGGUACUGACGCUGAGACGCGAAAGCGUGGGGAGCGAACAGG
rnacentral:rRNA from 1 species